rnacentral:rRNA from 1 species
UAGGGAAUCUUCCACAAUGGACGAAAGUCUGAUGGAGCAACGCCGCGUGAGUGAAGAAGGGUUUCGGCUCGUAAAACUCUGUUGUUAAAGAAGAACAUAUCUGGGAGUAACUGUUCAGGUAUUGACGGUAUUUAACCAGAAAGCCACGGCUAACUACGUGCCCG